rnacentral:rRNA from 1 species
GGACCGAACCGACUAAUGUUGAAAAAUUAGCGGAUGACUUGUGGCUGGGGGUGAAAGGCCAAUCAAACCGGGAGAUAGCUGGUUCUCCCCGAAAGCUAUUUAGGUAGCGCCUCGUGAAUUCAUCUCCGGGGGUAGAGCACUGUUUCGGCAAGGGGGUCAUCCCGACUUACCAACCCGAUGCAAACUGCGAAUACCGGAGAAUGUUAUCACGGGAGACACACGGCGGGUGCUAACGUCCGUCGUGAAGAGGGAAACAACCCAGACCGCCAGCUAAGGUCCCAAAGUCAUGGUUAAGUGGGAAACGAUGUGGGAAGGCCCAGACAGCCAGGAUGUUGGCUUAGAAGCAGCCAUCAUUUAAAGAAAGCGUAAUAGCUCACUGGUCGAGUCGGCCUGCGCGGAAGAUGUAACGGGGCUAAACCAUGCACCGAAGCUGCGGCAGCGACGCUUAUGCGUUGUUGGGUAGGGGAGCGUUCUGUAAGCCUGCGAAGGUGUGCUGUGAGGCAUGCUGGAGGUAUCAGAAGUGCGAAUGCUGACAUAAGUAACGAUAAAGCGGGUGAAAAGCCCGCUCGCCGGAAGACCAAGGGUUCCUGUCCAACGUUAAUCGGGGCAGGGUGAGUCGACCCCUAAGGCGAGGCCGAAAGGCGUAGUCGAUGGGAAACAGGUUAAUAUUCCUGUACUUGGUGUUACUGCGAAGGGGGGACGGAGAAGGCUAUGUUGGCCGGGCGACGGUUGUCCCGGUUUAAGCGUGUAGGCUGGUUUUCCAGGCAAAUCCGGAAAAUCAAGGCUGAGGCGUGAUGACGAGGCACUACGGUGCUGAAGCAACAAAUGCCCUGCUUCCAGGAAAAGCCUCUAAGCAUCAGGUAACAUCAAAUCGUACCCCAAACCGACACAGGUGGUCAGGUAGAGAAUACCAAGGCGCUUGAGAGAACUCGGGUGAAGGAACUAGGCAAAAUGGUGCCGUAACUUCGGGAGAAGGCACGCUGAUAUGUAGGUGAAGUCCCUCGCGGAUGGAGCUGAAAUCAGUCGAAGAUACCAGCUGGCUGCAACUGUUUAUUAAAAACACAGCACUGUGCAAACACGAAAGUGGACGUAUACGGUGUGACGCCUGCCCGGUGCCGGAAGGUUAAUUGAUGGGGUUAGCGCAAGCGAAGCUCUUGAUCGAAGCCCCGGUAAACGGCGGCCGUAACUAUAACGGUCCUAAGGUAGCGAAAUUCCUUGUCGGGUAAGUUCCGACCUGCACGAAUGGCGUAAUGAUGGCCAGGCUGUCUCCACCCGAGACUCAGUGAAAUUGAACUCGCUGUGAAGAUGCAGUGUACCCGCGGCAAGACGGAAAGACCCCGUGAACCUUUACUAUAGCUUGACACUGAACAUUGAGCCUUGAUG